GUAGGUGGCAAGCGUUGUCCGGAAUUAUUGGGCGUAAAGCGCGCGCAGGUGGUUCUUAAGUCUGAUGUGAAAGCCCCCGGCUCAACCGGGGAGGGUCAUUGGAAACUGGGGAACUUGAGUGCAGGAGAGGAAAGUGGAAUUCCACGUGUAGCUGUGAAAUGCGUAGAUAUGUGGAGGAACACCAGUGGCGAAGGCGACUUUCUGGCCUGUAACUGACACUGAGGCGCGAAAGCGUGGGGAGCAAACAGGGAUUAGAUACCCUGGUAGUCCACGCCGUAAACGAUGAGUGCUAAGUGUUGGGGGGGUUUCCGCCCCCUCAGUGCUGCAGCUAACGCAUUAAGCACUCCGCCCUGGGAGUACGGUCGCAAGACUG
rnacentral:rRNA from 1 species